rnacentral:rRNA from 1 species
GAUGAACGCUAGCGGCAGGCCUAACACAUGCAAGUCGAGGGGCAGCGGAAGAAGUAGCUUGCUACUUCUGCCGGCGACCGGCGCACGGGUGCGUAACGCGUAUGCAACCUACCUUUAACAGGGGGAUAAUCCGAAGAAAUUUGGUCUAAUACCCCAUAAUAUUUCAGAAGGCAUCUUUUGAGGUUGAAAACUCCGGUGGUUAAAGAUGGGCAUGCGUUGUAUUAGCUAGAUGGUGAGGUAACGGCUCACCAUUGCGAUGAUACAUAGGGGGACUGAGAGGUUUUCCCCCCACACUGGUACUGAGACACGGACCAGACUCCUACGGGAGGCAGCAGUGAGGAAUAUUGGUCAAUGGACGCAAGUCUGAACCAGCCAUGCCGCGUGCAGGAUGAAGGUGCUAUGCAUUGUAAACUGCUUUUGUACGAGGGUAAAUUCAGAUACGUGUAUCUGUUUGAAAGUAUCGUACGAAUAAGGAUCGGCUAACUCCGUGCCAGCAGCCGCGGUAAUACGGAGGAUCCGAGCGUUAUCCGGAUUUAUUGGGUUUAAAGGGUGCGUAGGCGGUUUGAUAAGUUAGAGGUGAAAGCUCGAUGCUCAACAUCGAAAUUGCCUCUGAUACUGUCAGACUAGAGUGUAGUUGCGGAAGGCGGAAUGUGUGGUGUAGCGGUGAAAUGCUUAGAUAUCACACAGAACACCGAUUGCGAAGGCAGCUUUCCAAGCUAUUACUGACGCUGAGGCACGAAAGCGUGGGUAGCGAACAGGAUUAGAUACCCUGGUAGUCCACGCCGUAAACGAUGAUAACUCGUUGCCGGCGAUAUAGUGUCGGUGACUAAGCGAAAGCGAUAAGUUAUCCACCUGGGGAGUACGUUCGCAAGAAUGAAAACUCAAAGGAAUUGACGGGGGCCCGCACAAGCGGAGGAACAUGUGGUUUAAUUCGAUGAUACGCGAGGAACCUUACCCGGGCUUGAAAGUUAGCGACGGAUCCUGAAAGGGGUCUUCUCUUCGGAGCGCGAAACUAGGUGCUGCAUGGUUGUCGUCAGCUCGUGCCGUGAGGUGUCGGGUUAAGUCCCAUAACGAGCGCAAACCCCUACUGUUAGUUGCCAGCAUGUCAAGAUGGGCACUCUAGCAGGACUGCCGGUGUAAGCCGAGAGGAAGGUGGGGAUGACGUCAAAUCAGCACGGCCCUUACGUCCGGGGCGACACACGUGUUACGAAUGGUCGGUACAGAGGGUAGCUACCUGGUGACAGGAUGCGAAUCUCGAAAGCCGAUCUCAGUUCGGAUUGGAGGCUGAAACUCGCCUCCAUGAAGUUGGAUUCGCUAGUAAUCGCGCAUCAGCCAUGGCGCGGUGAAUACGUUCCCGGGCCU